AUUCCGUAGGUGGACCUGCGGAAGGAUCAUUAAUGAGUUGUCAUGGGGUUCGAUGCUGGCAGCCAAUUUUUGGAUGCAUGUGCUUGCCCUAACAAUCAUCUUCCAAACACCUGUGCACAUUUUUGAGGGAGUCUUGAGUUGGUUGCCGCUCUUGGGUGAUUUUCUCACAUUCCCUUAAAUCAUUAUACGCUAUUAACAAUGUUGAACGUGCUCUGUGCCGCAAGGCUAUUAAUAUAAUACAACUUUUAACAACGGAUCUCUUGGCUCUC
rnacentral:misc_RNA from 1 species